rnacentral:tRNA from 1 species
GCGCCCGUAGCUCAGCUUGGAUAGAGCGUCGGUUUGCGGAACCGGAGGCCAUAGGUUCAAAUCCUGUCGGGCGUA